UACGUAGGGGCCGAGCGUUGUCCGGAGUUACUGGGCGUAAAGCGCGCGCAGGCGGCUCGUCAAGCCUGACGUGAAAGCCCCCGGCUCAACCGGGGAGGGUCGUUGGGUACGGCGGAGCUUGAGGGCGGUAGAGGUUGGUGGAAUUCCCGGUGUAGUGGUGAAAUGCGUAGAGAUCGGGAGGAACACCUGUGGCGAAGGCGGCCAACUGGGCCGACCCUGACGCUGAGGCGCGAAGGCGUGGGGAGCGAACGGG
rnacentral:rRNA from 1 species